GUUUGAUCCUGGCUCAGGAUGAACGCUAGCGGCAGGCCUAACACAUGCAAGUCGAGGGGUAGAAAGAGCUUGCUCUUUUGAGACCGGCGCACGGGUGCGUAACGCGUAUGCAACCUACCUAUUGCAGGGGAAUAGCCCAGGGAAACUUGGAUUAAUGCCCCAUAGUCCAUACAGAUAGCAUUUGAAGUAUGGUAAAGAUUUAUCGGCAAUAGAUGGGCAUGCGUCCCAUUAGCUAGUUGGUAUGGUAACGGCAUACCAAGGCUACGAUGGGUAGGGGCCCUGAGAGGGGGAUCCCCCACACUGGUACUGAGACACGGACCAGACUCCUACGGGAGGCAGCAGUGAGGAAUAUUGGACAAUGGGCGGGAGCCUGAUCCAGCCAUGCCGCGUGCAGGAAGACUGCCCUAUGGGUUGUAAACUGCUUUUAUACGGGAAGAAACCCACCUACGUGUAGGUGGCUGACGGUACCGUAAGAAUAAGGACCGGCUAACUCCGUGCCAGCAGCCGCGGUAAUACGGAGGGUCCGAGCGUUAUCCGGAAUCAUUGGGUUUAAAGGGUCCGCAGGCGGCCAGAUAAGUCAGUGGUGAAAUUCCGUGGCUCAACCACGGAACUGCCAUUGAUACUGUUUGGCUUGAAUCAGUUCGAGGAUGCCGGAAUGUGUGGUGUAGCGGUGAAAUGCAUAGAUAUCACACAGAACACCAAUUGCGAAGGCAGGUGUCCAGAACUGUAUUGACGCUGAUGGACGAAAGCGUGGGUAGCGAACAGGAUUAGAUACCCUGGUAGUCCACGCCGUAAACGAUGGUCACUAGCUGUCCGGACUUAGGUCUGGGUGGCCAAGCGAAAGUGAUAAGUGACCCACCUGGGGAGUACGUUCGCAAGAAUGAAACUCAAAGGAAUUGACGGGGGCCCGCACAAGCGGUGGAGCAUGUGGUUUAA
rnacentral:rRNA from 1 species